rnacentral:rRNA from 1 species
CCUACGGGUGGCAGCAGUGAGGAAUAUUGGUCAAUGGGCGCAAGCCUGAACCAGCCAAGUAGCGUGCAGGAUGACGGCCCUACGGGUUGUAAACUUCUUUUAUAAAGGGAUAAAGUGAUGCACGUGUGCCUUUUUGUAUGUACUUUAUGAAUAAGGAUCGGCUAAUUCCGUGCCAGCAGCCGCGGUAAUACGGAGGAUCCGAGCGUUAUCCGGAUUUAUUGGGUUUAAAGGGAGCGUAGAUGGGUUGUUAAGUCAGUUGUGAAAGUUUGCGGCUCAACCGUAAAAUUGCAAUUGAUACUGGAAGGCGUGAGUACACAUGAGGCAGGCGGAAUUCGUGGUGUAGCGGUGAAAUGCUUAGAUAUCACGAAGAACCCCGAUUGCGAAGGCAGCCUACCAAACUGUGACUGACAUUGAGGCUCGAAAGUGUGGGUAUCAAACAGGAUUAGAUACCCGUGUAGUC